AUUUUUGGUCCGCACGCUCCUGCUCCUGACUCACCGCUGUUCGCUCUCGCCGAGGAACAAGUCGGUCAGGAAGCCCGCGCGCAACAGCCAUGGAUACCGGAAAAACACCCGUGGAGCCGGAGGUGGCAAUUCACCGAAUUCGAAUCACCCUAACAAGCCGCAACGUAAAAUCCUUGGAAAAGGACUUUGAGAAUCACUACAAGAAAAACUCCUUGUGGUGAAGGUUCUAAGACGUGGGAUCGUUUCCAGAUGAGAAUUCACAAGCGACUCAUUGACUUGCACAGUCCUUCUGAGAUUGUUAAGCAGAUUACUUCCAUCAGUAUUGAGCCAGGAGUUGAGGUGGAAGUCACCAUUGCAGAUGCUUAAGUCAACUAUUUUAAUAAAUUGAUGACCAGUUGUUAA
rnacentral:lncRNA from 1 species